GAUGAACGCUGGCGGCGUGCCUAAUACAUGCAAGUCGAGCGAAUGGAUUAAGAGCUUGCUCUUAUGAAGUUAGCGGCGGACGGGUGAGUAACACGUGGGUAACCUGCCCAUAAGACUGGGAUAACUCCGGGAUACCGGGGCUAAUACCGGAUAACAUUUUGAACCGCAUGGUUCGAAAUUGAAAGGCGGCUUCGGCUGUCACUUAUGGAUGGACCCGCGUCGCAUUAGCUAGUUGGUGAGGUAACGGCUCACCAAGGCAACGAUGCGUAGCCGACCUGAGAGGGUGAUCGGCCACACUGGGACUGGGACACGGCCCAGACUCCUACGGGAGGCAGCAGUAGGGAAUCUUCCGCAAUGGACGAAAGUCUGACGGAGCAACGCCGCGUGAGUGAUGAAGGCUUUCGGGUCGUAAAACUCUGUUGUUAGGGAAGAACAAGUGCUAGUUGAAUAAGCUGGCACCUUGACGGUACCUAACCAGAAAGCCACGGCUAACUACGUACCAGCCGCCGCGGUAA
rnacentral:rRNA from 1 species